CGUGACUGGCCUUGGACUUCUUCAUUCACAGAGGGGAAAAGGGUCAGAGAUAUGAGACAAUCUGCAAAGAGGAAGCCAUGCCCUUGGCAUAGAAGCCGCUUGUUCCUGGGAUAAAGAGGUGGAUUUGGAAGAGUAGGCCAAAGUUGGACAAUAAGCCAAGGGGGGAAACUGUUGAAGAGAGUCAAGAGGCUGAGGCCUUGAGCCUGCAUUUUGGGUGGCACCCAAAGAUGACAAAAGGAGAAACAUGUCAUAAACUAGGCUUCAAAUGGCGCUUUGGCAGAAAGUUGUUUUGCUGCCCAAACUGGCAUUUAAUAUUGGUUGAAAUGAAUAAGACAUGCCAGCCAUCAACUUUUUACCAUGUAAUUAACCAGCUCUGAAUAAGGACAUGUCUUUUUACUUUAGUGCUCUUUUGAAAAUGGGUAAUAAACAAAAUAUUCAAAAGUCACAAAAUAGUAUGGACCGUGAGAACAUUGUGCUAAGUGAAACAAACCAGUUACAAAAGGACAAACACUAUAUGAUUCCACUUGCAUGAGCUAUCUAGAGUAGUCAAAUUCAUAGAAACAGAAAGUAGAAUGGUGACUGCCAAGGGUAGGGGAAGUAUUAAGUACUUGUUUAAUGGCUAGGAAAAAGUUUUGGAGGCUGGUUGUACAACAAUAUGAAUAUACUUUAAACUACUGAGCAGUACCCUUAAAAAUGUUUAAGAUAGUAAGUUUUGCUACAUGUAUUUUAUCACAAUUAAAAAUUUUUAAAAAUUUUAAGUCACAAAUUAGUGUAGAAAGUAUCACCCAAUUCUGCCUUCUGGCCACUCGGUUCCACUCCUCAGAGACAGCCAGUGUUAGUAUAUCUUCCCAUCUUUCCAUUUGGGAAUACAUUAGAAAUACAUUCUAAUUAUAUAUGCUUGCAAAUAUAUGCCUAUAGAGAUAAAACACACCCAUACACAAACAGUGGCAUAUUACACGUACUGUUCAUGCACUUCGGUCUUUUCAUUUAACGUAUCUUAGAGACUUUUCUAAAUUACUUCAUAUACAACUGCCUUACUCCUUUUAGGAGCUGCUACCUGGCCGGGCGUAGUGGCUCAUGCUUGUAAUCCCAACACUUUGGGAGGCCGAGGUGGGUGGAUCACGAGGUCAGGAGUUCAAGACCAGCCUGGCCAAGAUGGUGAAACCCCAUCUCUACUAAAAAUACAAAAAUUGGCCGGGCAUGAUGGCAGGUGCCUGUAACCCAUAUACUCAGGAGGCUAAGUCAGAGAAUUGCUUGAACCCAGGAGGCAGAGGUUGCAGUGAGCCAAGAUCGUGCCACUACACUCCAGCCUGGGCAACAAAGCGAGACUCUGUCUCAAAAAAAAAAAAAAAAAAAAAAAACCUGCUACAAAUUUACUGCAUGACUAUAUCAAUUAUUUUACCAGUUCCCUACUAAUGGGUAAUUAGGUUUUGCAUGAGUUUUUGUGCUUAUAAACACAGCAAUGAAUACCUUCAUGCUAUUUUUAAGCCCCACAUAUACAAGAGUGUGUGUAAAUAUAUGUUACAUGCCUAGGAUGAAACUGCUAAAACAAAAGUUAUGUGCAUUCUUUAUGUGUGAUUGUGUGAUGUGUGUGAUGUGUGACUUGAUGUAUACACACUAUUUUUAUUUAUAUUAAAAUGUGUAUUGAAGUAUAGCAUACAUUCAGAACAGUACAUAAUUCUUAAGUUCAUAGCUUAAUGAAUUUUCUCAAUAUAAUUACACCUAACACAGAGAUUAAAAAAAAAAAAAAGAUUAUAAGCCUCCAAAAGCCCUUCAUGUCUCCAUCCAGUGAGCUCCCCAAGAGUAAUACUACCCUGACUUCUAACACCACAAUUUUGUCUUUUUUUGAAUUUAUAUUUGUGUUUGGCUCUUUCACCCAACAUUAUGAUUGUGAGUCAUUCAUGUUGGGUGAACUGUAAUUCAUUCAUUCUUAUUGCUCUAUAAUAUCCCAUUGUGUAAAUACAUCACAACUGAUCUAAACUAUACUACACUACAUAAGGUAUGUGCAUUCUUAAAUUUUAAUGGAUAUUAUUCAACUGCUCUCCAUAGAGUUUAGAAACUUACCAUUAAUAUACGGAAGUAGCUGUCUUCCUACACCUUAGUCAAUAGCUAAUCAAACUUCUUAAUCAUGUUAAUCGGGUAUUUUUAAAAUGCUUUCAGUAUAGUUUCAAUUUGCUUAACUCUUACAUUGACUGCAACUGAGGAUCAUUUCAUACAUUUAGGAGCCACUUGUCUUUCCUUUGAACUGUCUCUGAAUGUGCCCACUUGUCUACUGAGUUGUUGGUCUUUUCUAUCAGCAAGCGAUCUUGCUUUUUAAAGGAAAUUAGCCCUUUGAACAUGCUGCAUGGCAACUAUUUCUUCCCAGCUUAUCACUGGAGUCCCAAUUUUGUUUAUACUAGUUUUUGCCAUGUCUAGGUUGUCUGUUUGUUUGUUUAUUUAUUUAUGAGAUGAGGGGUCUUGCUCUGUUGCCCCGGCUGGAGUGCAGCGCAAUGUUGCGAUCUCAGCUCACUGCAACCUCCGCCUCCCGGGUUAAAGCGAUCCUCUUGCCUCUGUCGUUUCUAAUAAAGUUAAACACUCACCUAUCCCAUGACCCAGAAAUCCACUCCUAGAUAUAUACACAAGAGAAAUUAGUAUAUAUGAGAAUGUUCAUAGCAGCUUAAUUCACAAUAGCCAAAACCUAGAAACAAUCAAUAAGAAAAUGAAUAAACAAAGGGUAAUAUAAUCAUACAACAGAACUCAGCAAGAAAAAAAGAGUAACUCAUACCACCGCCAAGUUGGAUAAAUUGCAAAAAAAAAAAAAAAAAUUAUGCUGGGCAAAAGCCAGACACAGCAGAGUCCUUACUGUCUGAGCCCAUUCAUAUGAAGUUCAAAAA